rnacentral:lncRNA from 1 species
GGAGGAGCGCGGCCGCGGGCCGGUGACUCAGAGCUGGCUGCGAGCGGCUUCGGCGGCUCCUCUGCAGCGGCUGCGGGAGCGGAGGGACAGGGGGAGGCUGCGCCCGUGCCGGGGCCAGCGGGGACGGAGCGGGCUGGGGAGGAUGCUCGGGAAGGAGCCAGGUGCGGGGCAGCGUGGGGGUGGGAUGCCGGCUCUCCCUCCGGAGUUUUUUUGGGGUUUAGUGGAGUUUCUUUGGGGUUUACUCGGGCUCCUCUCCGCAGGGAGCAGCAGGCAGAGCCGGCCGGGCUCCCCGCGUCUCCGGAUGAAGGUAAGGGCAGUGGGGAUGGGGGGAGAGGGGUUGUUUCAUGCACCCUGCUGAGCAGCAUCACGUGGGUUUGGGAAGGGGGCCCCUCUCCCUGCAUCCCCACACCCCCUCCAGCUUGGGGAGCACGAAGGGGUCCCCUAAAGCUGCUCCUGAGCACUGGGGAUAUCCUUAAAAAUGUGGAGGUGUUUGGGGGGACACCCGCCAGCCUGUGCCUGCUGGGAAGCUCCUGGAGUUUUUGUUUUUUUGGGGGGUCUCCAUCAAGGCUGGUGCGAGGCUGGCAAGGGGACGCUGCCACCCCGCUGCCACCGCCCUCUCUGUCCCCAGGGAGGAUGAGCAGUCCCCAGGGGCACCCGGACGGGGUCGUGGCCGGGAGCGAGCAGAGCACGGAGCGCGUCAGCGAGGAGCCGGGCAAGGACAGGCAGGAGCUGGCCGUGCGCACCGGGGACAGUGACGGCACCGAGGAAGGUGAGUCCCUGUCCGGGUCCCGGGCUGGGUCCCCUCGUGGGGGGGCUUGAAGUGUCUGGGGUGUUGGGAUCUGAUGGGGUUUGGCUCCCAUGGUGGAGACCCAGGGACUGGUUUGGGGGAUGUGAAACCCUGCUGGUGCUGGGGGAAGGAUCGGGGCGCUCUCACGCUGGGACAGGAGGGCAGAGGGAGGAGGAGAAGCAGACCAAAGCCUCCACGAGCGGUCUCUCCAGCGGUGUCACU